GGGCGAACAGCGCGGAGGGAUAGGCGCCAAUCUUCAGCUGCUGAGCAUAGUGUCUUCUGGGCAUGAGGGGGGCAUGAAGGAGGAUCUGAGCAGGCUCAGCGAAGAGACACAAUGUCACCACAACAAUGUGUGAGGCGACAUCUGAAGAAGGAGGCCGGGAACAAAGACUGGCUGCAGCAGGUAUUUUCGACUGUGAGGCCGUCGAUGCCGGGAGCUCGCUGUCCUUGCAUGGCCUGUAUAGCAACCUGCAGCUCCCGCACAGUCAACAGCCCCCUUGGGGUAGUGCACCACAGAACUCUCCGAGAAAUGUUUCAUCUCCCUCAUAUACACUGGAGUACAGGAAAGAAUAAAUACU